CUGGUCGAGUCGGCCUGCGCGGAAGAUGUAACGGGGCUAAACCAUGCACCGAAGCUGCGGCAGCGACGCUUAUGCGUUGUUGGGUAGGGGAGCGUUCUGUAAGCCUGCGAAGGUGUGCUGUGAGGCAUGCUGGAGGUAUCAGAAGUGCGAAUGCUGACAUAAGUAACGAUAAAGCGGGUGAAAAGCCCGCUCGCCGGAAGACCAAGGGUUCCUGUCCAACGUUAAUCGGGGCAGGGUGAGUCGACCCCUAAGGCGAGGCCGAAAGGCGUAGUCGAUGGGAAACAGGUUAAUAUUCCUGUACUUGGUGUUACUGCGAAGGGGGGACGGAGAAGGCUAUGUUGGCCGGGCGACGGUUGUCCCGGUUUAAGCGUGUAGGCUGGUUUUCCAGGCAAAUCCGGAAAACUAAGGCUGAGGCGUGAUGACGAGGCACUACGGUGCUGAAGCAACAAAUGCCCUGCUUCCAGGAAAAGCCUCUAAGCAUCAGGUAACAUCAAAUCGUACCCCAAACCGA
rnacentral:rRNA from 1 species